CUUGAGAGAUGAGUAGCCGAAUA
rnacentral:siRNA from 1 species